UACGUAGGGUCCGAGCGUUGUCCGGAGUUACUGGGCGUAACGCGCGCGCAGGCGGCGGUAUAAGCAUGGCGUGAAAGCCCCAGGCUCAACCUGGGAGGGUCGUCGUGGACUGUACCGCUUGAGGGCGGUAGGGGCUGGUGGAAUGCCUGGUGUAGUGGUGAAAUGCGUAGAGAUCAGGCGGAACACCCGUGGCGAAGGCGGCCAGCUGGGCCGUCCCUGACGCUGAGGCGCGAAGGCGUGGGGAGCGAACGGG
rnacentral:rRNA from 1 species